rnacentral:piRNA from 1 species
AGAUACAGAGAUGAGCCUGCCUGAUU